rnacentral:rRNA from 1 species
GUCUACAGCCAUGCCACCCUGAAUGUGCCUAAUCCCAUCGGAUCUCGGAAGCUAAGCAGGGUCAGGCCUGGUUAGUACUUGGAUGGGAGACCACCUAGGAAGACCAGGUGCUGUAGGCG